rnacentral:ribozyme from 1 species
CAAAAGAGAGAAAGAAAAGGCAACAGAAAAAAAAUAAUGUUGUUCCUUGUUAUUUAUUUCUUCUUCUUCUUCUCCUUUUU